rnacentral:lncRNA from 1 species
UAAAUUUUUACCAGUAUUAGUUAUAUAGGUGGAUGUCCCAGAAUCGGGAUACCACAUGACAACUGAAUUAGUUGCAGCCAGAUUUGCAGAAGGAUUAGCGUCGCUCAAAUUCAGAUCUAUCGGGAUUAAUUUUCGGUUGUGAUUAAGAGGAAAUCUCUGAAAGUUUACUCUGCUGUAGCAAUUUAGAGCCCCGUGCCCUUUCCGAUUGCAUAUUUGACACGGGUAAGCUUUUGCAUUUUCUGAUUUGUUGUGCUUAGAGACCGCGUUGACUUCGACGAUGUCCGACGAUGAUGAAUCUUGCAGAUCAUAAUCCAUCAAUAGGUUGUUGAAGGUUGCUAAAUGUCCUUUUGUGGUCGAAGCGGGUUGUAAUGGAGGUAACAAAUUGUUUGUACUCGCUUCCUAAUCCACCCAAUGCUAUUAGGAUAAUCUGUGAUUCUUUCAUCUUUUUGCCUGCUGAUGCCAAUCUAUCUCUAAUGAUGCAUAUAUUCUUGAUAUAUUGAACCAUCGUCUAUGUACCUUUUCGAAUGCUUUGUAGUUGCAUCCGAAGGUGGAGUAGACAUGUCUCCGAGUCAGAGCCAUGUAUUUGCCUUAGACAUUUCCAGACCUCAUGCGACGUGGUGAGAGCAGCGACCUAUGGCAAGAUCAUCGGAGAUAUUGACGUCAAGAUCCAGCUAAGGAUGAUCUGGUCCUGCUGUUCAGCGAAAGAACCUCGGGCAAAGGAUUUUUCCUUCCACGUAUUUUAGGAGCUUGUAUCCUCGGACAAGAGCCGAGAAUUGAGCUCGCCAACGAAAGUAGUGUUCUCCUUCUAACUUCUAACAUCUCAUGUGUUUCGUGACGAUCGCCUUGCUUGAUGAUGCAUACAAAUCUUUGUCUCCGGUCUUCAUUGCAUCGGAAUUGGGUUCGAUUGCAGACCCUGGCGAAGAUACCAUAUCAAUUUUGGAAGUUAAUCACCCGAAUGUAAAACUAUCACCAAGAACUCUUAUCUGAUCAAUUGAUUUACAUGAGUAUUUAUAUUACAUCAAACUAAUACAAUGGUUUACAACAACUAAUGUUUUAGUUAGUCAACUAACACAAUCGUUAAAUAAUUAAAGGUUGUAAGAUAUUAUUCACAGAAUCAACAAUUUGAUGUUUAUGAAAAGGUAUUUUCUCUUUCAUAAUUGAUUAAGAUAACUUGAUGUAUUUUUUCAAU